UAGCACCAUGGGAUUCAGCUUA
rnacentral:miRNA from 1 species